ACUGGGGUCCUCCGGGAGGUGGCCUGCGCUGUGCGGGGCGAGCAGACCCGCAAGUGGAGAUGCUUUGCUCUGCCCCCAAGGGGUACCUCCCGGGGCCUGACCCCCCUCCCCCAGCUGGUGGGGUACGACGGGGUCCUGGGACCUCCAGCUACGGAUCCCUCCAUCCAAGACCUGCCUGUUCGGUGGUGAGCUCCAGAGGGGUCUGGUGGGCAGCGCCCAUGCUUAGGUCUCAGGCGCACCAGGGAUUCUGUCCCAGCCCACUUCCUCGUCCACAGUGGGCCCGCGGGACGGCCCUGUCUGAAUGGCUGGAACACUCUGCCUGGGAGGAGUGAGCAUGAAAUUGCAGUAAACCAUCCACCAUCCACCAUCGCCAAGCCACAUUCCACAGCAGGAGCCCGGAAAUGACUCCUGCUUGCUGAAGUCCUCGACCCGAAUCUCAUGUGUCAGCAAGCCCUGGCAAGGCUUCCUGUGCAACGACCGCCCCUGCCCCCUCGUGGGACAGACCGGAAGGGCCAGAGGAGGACGGGAAGGACCUCGAAGGACAGCCCAACACCCCUCCUAAGAGGAGACUGGGUACUGGCCACAGACUUAAAUGAAAGCAGCUGCCCGGCCAAGGCUGCACCUCGGCCUCCCACCUCUUCUGCAUUUGGGGGGUGGGCUAUUUUUAGAAGGAAGGCUGGUUGGAGAAAGUGUCUUAUGUAUCCUGGACCCUAGCAAGGCCUCCAGGAAAGAACAGAGGGGCCUAUGUCUCUGGCCUCCUCCUCCACGCUCACCCAGCCUUGUUCCGCCCCGCCUGGGCCGUGGACUUUGCUGAACUAACAUUUACACUGGCUCCCCCGCCAGGCCCGGAGCUUCCUCAGGCCGUGGUCAGCCUGGCAGAGGGCAGAGGGCCACCCUGGGAUGAGGGGAGGGCAGGGGGCCCCUGGCCCAACCCAUCCAGCCAGCAGGGCCCCCCCUGCAGAGGGUCAGAGCCGAGGAUGACGUCACUGGAGCCCAUGGAGGGACAGACCCCUCACGUGGCUCAGGAAGAGGGGCUGCCCAGUCGCCCACAGGCUCUGUGGCUGCCUGGCAGGCUCCCGGCUUCAGGGACCCUGUCCUAGCGGGGCCAGCACUAGCCUUGGGCACCUCACUUCGCACCUCUCUUGCCUCGUCUAUACAAUGGGACUUAGAUUCAGGCCGGAACACAUACCAUUCCUGUGCCCUUCUGUGCCCAGUGUGGGGGGGGGUGACAUGAAGGAGUCCUGUCCUCAGGGGCCGGCCUGGGGGCCCCAAAGAGAGGUGGGGGGCCGCCUGAAGGAAGCUGGUCUGGCCCUGGACGGCCUCGGCUGAGGCAGAGCAGAGCAGAGGGCCCUGGGCAGGUGCCAAAGGCGCAGGCACAGCAGUGCCACCAACCACCCCACACCCAGCAUGGGCACCUGGGGGGCUGCUCGCUUGGCGCUCUGGUCGGGUCAGCCUGGGUCUGGGCAGAGGCCCUUGCCUGGAAGGCCACCGGCAGAACCAGCGUUGUCCUUAGCCCUUCGGAUCCACCAGGAAGAACCUUUAUUUCUGCUUCAAACCGGAGACCAGGAGGGGUGAGAUCCAGACCCCAGGCCAGGGACGGGAGAGGCCCGACCUGGUGAGGCAGGCGGGGCUGGCUGGGCUCUGCCCACUGGGUGCCGGGGCCGGCCCAGCCCUCUCUAAACUUCAGCCCAGCCAGUCUGGGGCUGGGGUCCUCUCCGCCGUCAGAGAGCAGCCCCCAGGGACAGCAGAAUCCGGCGGUAGCCAUGCCCCAUCACUGGGCGCAGGGGGCCUUGUCCUCGGAGCCGGCACACUCGCUGCCACCGUCGUCUGGAGUGUCCCCCAGCAGACUCGGUGAGGGGGCUGCAGAAACAUAACGGCCUCCAUGUGGGGGGGUGCAUUUCUGACAGGUUUGCCAGGAAAUGUGUGAGGGCAGCAGCUUCAGGCGUAGGGCGGAGGGAGGAGGAGGCCAGGCCGGGAGCAGGAGCGCCCUCCCCGGCACGUCCACCAGAGCCAGGGCGUAGCUGACUGCGGGGGUGGGGGGGGGACUGGGCAGACCCAGGGACCCCCCCCCGGGAGCCCAAGUCUCAGAGGUUACCCAGGGGGUGGGCGCCAGUGCUGUUCCGGGCCCUGGACAGGCCUGACAGAGGGACAGAGGUCGAGGGGACUUCCGGGGGAGGCAGGGGAGCUGGUGGUGUGGCCAGUCUCCUUCUGGGCCCAAGCUGCAGGGGGUUAGAGCGGACCAGGGGGGCUGCAGCGGGGCGGGGGCGGGUAGAGAGGGUAGGCAGGUGGCCAAGCAGCCCCAGCUGAGGCCAGCUCCCCGGGGACAGGCGACCUAGGGGUCUUCAGGGCACCAAGCUGCCCAGGGCACAGCGCACCCCCCACACAUCCUCCGUGGAGGCCCUCGAGGCCCAGCCUGCCCCUUCUCCUGGGCCUCAGACCUGGCCCCUGGCUGACCCCUCUCCUACCCGCUCUCCUCCCAGAAGCUUCCCUGGCUCUGGCAGCCCCCGAGUCUAUAAGCAGGGCACCCAGGCCAAGACAGGGAGGGUCAGAGCCAAGCAGAAGCUCAGGGCAGGCAGACGGCAGGGGUGAGCGGCCAGAGGGGUGGAGGGCCUGCUCACCAAACAAACAGGAGGGAGGCUCUGCUUCUGACUCCUCUCUUGGGACCCCACAGGCAGCCCCUCACUCACCAGCAGCAGCCUGGCUUGGGGCCGACCCUGCAGGCAGCUCCCCCCUCUCCACAGCAGCCACCUUGGACGGUGGCCGAUGGCCCAACUGAGGGCCCUUCUCCGGGGCACCCACCACAGCCUGCAGGGAGGGGGGGCAGGGGGCAGGGCAAUGCCAGGCCUGGGCUCCCCACUCCCUCCCACGCCUGUCCUGCCCUCUGUCCACUGGGAGAGUCGGGAGCCAGGCUGAGCAGGUGUGCAGCUGUGCACAUCCCCAGAGGGUCCCAGCCCCCCACUCCCCACCUGGGGUCACAGUUCUCCCUGGGCGACACAGGACCCACCUGGGCUCAGCCCUGAGGCCCAUUUCACAGCUGGAGCCCAAGGCCAGAGAGGCCAAGGCCACACAGUGAGUGGGUGGGCUCUGGCCUCUCUGCUUCCCAGUGGCCCCCCACCCAUCCUGCACAGCCCCCUCCUGGGGUCUCUCCUCCUGGGCCCUUGGCCUCCUCCCCAGCUCAGAGGAGCUGGGAAGCUGUUGCCACAGCAACCUGAGCGCCUUGCUCUGGGCUCGUUGUUCAGUGCCCACAGGAGUGUGUGGGGGCUGCCUCCCCCAGCCCUGCUGCUGCCUCAGCAUCUCCGCCUCCCAUUCAAGGCCUUCGGAGGUAGAGGCCUGUGUUACAGCCCAGAGCUCCUGCCCCAGAGCCACUGCAGCCCUGUCUUCGGUCCCACCCGCAUGCCUUGGCUCAGCGGGUCUCCUUCCUGGAGCUCCCCAGCCCUCAACUCUCUUAUGCUUUUGGCGCAUGUCUGCCUUCUCCCAAAGGUGCAUUGAGGAAGGGCAGGCACACGGCUGGCAGGACUUUGCUAAGUGGCUCUUGAGCCCCCACAGCAGAACCAUCUGGAUCUGUCUGUGUUUAAAUGCAAUGUCUGGAUGGGGACCCAGGAAGCAGCAUUUUAACCAAGUACCAAAGGUGACCCUUAAGUGUGAAAACAGGUGUCGUGAGCUGAGACAUCUGUGGAAUCAGAGUGACAACAGAGCAAGGACCCUGCCAUGGCCCUAGGUCUGGACCUUCCUGGGUCCUCUUGCUGGCCUCCUCCCCCUCUUAGAAUCCCUCUCUCCGCACCCCUCCCCCGGCUCCUGUCAUUCUCCCUCCUGCCCUCCUCCCUGAAACCCUGCUGGUCCCCACCCAGGGCACUCCUCUGCCCAGAGUGUGCCGCGGGGGAGGCAGCCCUGGGCCAGUGGAGCUUGCUAUCCACCCUCUCCCUCCUCCCCGCCCUUGGGCAGCUCCGGGCUGGUGCCCCCUCCCCGGCCCCCUGCCCCCCACAAUGAGAAGAGCCCACCUCCACCUCCAGGGCUCAGAACAUCAUCACACACCCCUUGUGCUGGGACCUCACUUUUCACCUGCAUCAAAAGCCCUGCAGGGAGUUCCCGUCAUGACUCAGCAGUAACAAACCCUAUGAGUAUCCAUGAGGACAGGGGUUCAAUCCCGGGCCUCCCUCAGUGGGUUAAGGAUCUGGUGUUGCUGUGAGCUAUGGUGUAGGCCUGCUGCUGAAGCUCCAAUUUGACCCAUAGCUUGGGAACUUCCAUAUGCCGUGGAUGCGGCCAUAAAAAGAAAAGAAAA
rnacentral:lncRNA from 1 species